UAAACAAAUUUUAGAAUGGAUAUGGGGUGUUUGUUUCAUCAAAAGUUUGACCAUAAAUAUCUACUUCUAUUGUUUGGUAAAACUCAAAUUCUCUAAAAUAGCGUAUAUAAUAAACUUCAACCCACUUCAAAUUGAAAUUAAAUACGAAAAAAAAUGAAAAAAUAAUAAAUUAUUAAUUUAUUUCUCGCACUUUCAGCUUUUACGAUAUUCAAUUUUUAUUAAACAAACAAUAGAUAUGGAAUACAGUUUCACAACUAAACAAAUAAACAAGGAAUUUUUUUUUUUUUUUUUAACUUAAACUCUAGUUCAUUCGAAAGUCUACUUAUAAUCUAAACUCCACCUUAGAUAAAACAAACAAAUCUAAUGAAUGAAAGUAAGGUGCAAGAUACAAGGAUGCACCAGGUGGAGACAAUAAUUUCUUCUCUUCCUUGAUACUUUAUUCAUCUCAUCAAACCCUAAGGGGUGAGGCAUCUCUCUCUCUCUCUCUCUCUCUCUCUCUCUCUCUCUAAACUCCUCUCUAGGAGAUCUAAUCUCUCCAUUCCUGUGUUCUCAUCCUCCUCUCCUUUUCUCUCCCUCAUCCCCACCCUCAAACUCCCACUUCUUUUCCCCUCCUCCACUUGGUUAUUUCCAUCCCCAAUCCCCCCCCUCGCCCCCCUUUUCUCUUUUUCUCCACCCUCUCAUCUCUUAUUUAUUCCACCACAAAUUAAUCCAUAAAAAAUUACACCCUCCUUUUCUCUCUACAACCACAAAUUUAUAUUUCCUAAUCCUUCCCUACCCUUUCUUUAUAUUUUUCUUUUUUAAAAAAAAUUCCCCCCACCAAUUAAUACUUGACCUUAUUAUUGUACUAUUAUCUUUUUUAUUAUUAUU
rnacentral:lncRNA from 1 species